ACGCGCGGAACCUUACCAGGUCUUGACAUCCCGCUGCCCGGUAUAGAGAUAUACCUUUCCCUUCGGGGACAGUGGUGACAGGUGGUGCAUGGUUGUCGUCAGCUCGUGUCGUGAGAUGUUGGGUUAAGUCCCGCAACGAGCGCAACCCUUGUUCUUAGUUGCCAGCAUUUAGUUGGGCACUCUAAGGUGACUGCCGGUGACAAACCGGAGGAAGGUGGGGAUGACGUCAAAUCAUCAUGCCCCUUAUGACCUGGGCUACACACGUGCUACAAUGGACGGUACAAACGGUUGCCAACCCGCGAGGGGGAGCUAAUCCGAUAAAACCGUUCUCAGUUCGGAUUGUAGGCUGCAACUCGCCUACAUGAAGCCGGAAUCGCUAGUAAUCGCGGAUCAGCAUGCCGCGGUGAAUACGUUCCCGGGCCUUGCACACACCGCCCGU
rnacentral:rRNA from 1 species